UACGUAGGGUGCGAGCGUUGUCCGGAAUUAUUGGGCGUAAAGAGCUCGUCGGCGGCUUGUUGCGUCGGAUGUGAAAGCCCGGGGCUUAACUCCGGGUCUGCAUUCGAUACGGGCAGGCUAGAGUUCGGUAGGGGAGAUCGGAAUUCCUGGUGUAGCGGUGAAAUGCGCAGAUAUCAGGAGGAACACCGGUGGCGAAGGCGGAUCUCUGGGCCGAUACUGACGCUGAGGAGCGAAAGCGUGGGGAGCGAACAGG
rnacentral:rRNA from 1 species